rnacentral:lncRNA from 1 species
UCGUCCUUCAAUGUUUCUGAUAAUCAGCUCCAUGGUCAGAUUCCUCAAGGCAAACAGUUCAACACAUUUGGAAAUGAUUCAUAUGAAGGAAACAAGGGAUUAUGUGGAUUUCCAGUCUCGAAAGGUUGCAACAUCAUUGAGCCACCACCUCCAAAUGUGCUUGAAAAAGAUGGCUCAAAAUCAAACAUUACUUUUGGUUGGAAAGUGGUGUUGAUAGGUUAUGGAUGCGGAGUGGUGUUGGGAAUGUCCGUGGGAUAUGUUGUUUUCCAAACUGGUAAGCCGAAAUGGUUGGUGAAUUUGGUUGAAAUCCAACAUGAGAAGAAGCAAAGACGAAAGUCAAAGAAAGGCAAUCGAAGCAAUAGACGAAGAAGGAUCUAAGUACAGCAAAUGAUGUUCAAGAAUUAGUGUUGUAUUUUCAAAAUUUCUUGUUCUGUAGACCGUUUUGCCCAUGGUGAAGGGUUGCAUUGGUAUGUGUAUGUCUUUAUUAUUGUACCAAUUCCUGUCUUUCAUUGCAUUUCGUACUAUCUGUAAUGGUUUGUUUGAGUGUAACAUUUUGUAUGGUAUUGUUGUUUAUGUCUUCUUUCAUGACUUUCCAUUUAGUCUCGAUAAUCUUUGCUACUGCUCAGUAAAGGAGGAAGGAGAAUAAAAUGUCUCAAUUUAUGUCAAUUUAUGCUUGCAGAUUUGACGUGGAAUGUUGUUGAACUGAAGGUUGUUUAACUUUUGUCUUCUAAGCUAUACAUGAACAUAUGGGAUGUGACAAAUAUUAUUUUAGCUUUUGCUUAUGAAAUGUUGAAAUAGUGAGUUUAUAUUCCUUGAUUAAUAAAAAGUGAGAUGGAGAUAGUCAAACCUCAAUUUCCACAUUGAAAUUGAAUCCAAACAUUAAUUGGUGGAUCACAUGUCUUGUAUUCUGUCAAGUUAAAGGGAGUGAAUAGAGCACCAUUCUUCUUCUGCGUGGAAAAUAAGUUGGCGUUAUGCCAAUUUUCACAUUCAUACAUAUAAAGGAAGCAAGACCAAGUCAAUAUACUUUGUAAUCUCAUCAUUUCUUCUUCAUUCUUUAGGGAGUUCAAAUGAAAUACAAAUUUUUGGUAAAUCAACUCUUCUUUUUUAUGAAUAAAAAUUAUAUGGUAAAAAGGAAGUGGUGUUAAUAAUAAUAAUAAUAAUAAUAAUAACAACAACAAUACAAAACUAAUAAAGCAAUUUAGUCUAUGAUUUGCACAAUGAUUAAUGUAGCGACCUAAAAAUUUAGGCACGAGCGCUAAUUGAAGUGAUUAUUGAAAAUUUGAAAACAGAAUCUCGAUUUUAUUUGAAAAAGGAGUCGCUAUCGAUCUUUUUUUCUAGGUGUGAUCGGACACCUAAUAAAUUCUCUUUUUAGAAGAAAAAUUUAUUUUUAAAUUUUUCUAAAAAUAGGUAAUUUUUCUAAAAAAUUUAGGGGUCAAAAUGUAAUUUUUUAUUUUUUGAAUUUUUUUUGAAAUUUAAAAAAAUAUAUAUAUAUAAACACGACAAAACCCGGACAAAAUUUAGUGCUUACAAUUAAUACCUAAUUUGAUCCUUGAAUUAUAGUUCAAAAAGUAUUUUUAUAUUUUUAAAUUUUCAUAAAAAUAAUUGUAUCAAAAUUUAAAAAUCUUAAAAAUAAAUACAAAUUUUAUAUAAAAAAUCAAUUGGCCCAAGAAAAAAAAUUUACCAACUAAAUUUUCCAUAUCCAAACUCAUAAAUAAUUCUUCUUUGAACUUUCACAAAAAAAUAUUAAAUACCCUUUCACUUUAUCAUUAUAAAUAUAAUAUACAUUUUUUUCCUUCUUUUUCAUGUAGAUCAGCUUCAACUCUACUAUUCUUAGAUCAUUAUAAAUAUAAUAUAUGUUUUAUUUACAGCUGAAAGUAAAACCUUGAGUUGAAAUUUGGCAGAAAAAAUUGUGGGUUUGGAGAAGAAGAAGAGCACUUUGUAUUUAAAUUUAAAAAAUCAAAAAUUUCAAAACUGAAAGUUACUCAAAACCCUAAACAAUCUAAUAAUUGGAGUUAUAGAAAAGAAAUAUGAGUUUAGAAAUAAAUAAAACAAAAUAAAUUUGCAAAACAAUUUCUAGGCAAAACAACAUGAAGUUGUUGAUGUGAUUGAAGGUGUUCUUCAACGGUGGAAAACAAAUAGAAUUUAAUUUGAAAAUUUUAAGAUUUUUUAAAUAAUAAAAAAUUGCAUUAGUUUAAAAACUUUAGUUUUAAUUUUAAGAUAUUUUUAGAUUUAUACAUAUUUAAUUAUUUUUAGAUUUUUUAGAUUUAAAUGAAGUUACAAUUAUUUUUGAAAACGGUACCUCUACAUUUUUGAAGGUACAAGGAAAUAAAAUAUGGAUUUGGUAUCGAUACUUCGGCCCGAGUAUCAAUGCUCGAGGUAAGUUUAUUGAUACCUUGCGAAAGGUACCAAUAAUUUUUUUAUAUUUUGAUAUUUGGUAAGAAACAUAAUGUUAGUUUGGUAUCGAUUUUCCAUGAGAUAUCAAUACCACUUAAAGAAAAUAUCGAUAGCCCUAGGACAGUAUCAAUACCUAUGUAACAGUUUUAGAAAUUUUGCAACUGGGCCCAUUUGUAGGUUUGAUUGAUGUUUUUAAUACCCUUAGUGUAUGUAUGGCAUGUUUUAAUGAUAAGAAGUGGUUGAACGACUACAACUCAUACGUAGGAUUGAAUAAAGAUGAUGAUUGGUUACUUGUGAAAUUGUUUGCUAAGUAAAUGAUGCAUGAUGGUGGUGUAACAUCCUAAUAUUUCGGCUUGGCGACUGAGCCGAGUAUAGGGUGUUACAAUGUGUUCCACAAGUUUCAUCAGCAAUCCUCAAUGCAUCUAAUUAAUUGGGAAAAUUGAGAAAAUAGAAAUGGUCAAGAAGAUGUAACAUGAUGAGUACCUCUUUGCACCGUCAAGAAUUUUAGUAAGUCUCCAAAUUCAUUCAUUAACCCUCCUUCCUGUUAAAUAUUUAUCAUUAAUUUUAUUAAAUUAAAACAUAAAUUUUUAUAAAUCUAAAGUGUAAUUUAUGAGCCGGGUUAUUCAAUCCAAAAAAAAAAAAUCAGCCAAGACUCUUUGGACAAAUUGCUUGAGUAAAACCAGAAAAUGAAUAACAAUUUUGAUGGAUUUUGAUUACAAAUGAAUUGAGGCAUAAUGCCAUUACAUAUACCAUGCAUUCAGCUGGUCAAAAUGAGACAGACAUCACCUAAUCAUCAACCUAACUCCACUAAGUAGCCUUGAAACUUAUGAAAACAUAACUUGCACACAUAGGUACGCUGAUUUAUCAAUCUAUCAGCACCUAAUUACAUCAAACAUGUUACCAACUUAGUUCAAAUCAAACUAAGCAAGAAAACAUUAACUUAAAGUAACAAAAAAUGAACAGCAGCAUGAACUUCAGCUGCAACUGCAUGGCUGGAGCAGCUCUGCUUCUUGUCUGCAUGCCGGCCAACUUCAACAAGAUCUGAGUAAGGCUAAUUUGUCCAGAAGUUGCAUCAUGCAAAACUAUUUAAUGGCUUUUAGGUAGCUUUGUCAACGGCAAAAAAAAUGAGAAAAUUAGUCAAAUUUCUUCCAUUUUUAUCUUUAAAAAUUUGGUUUUGUGCGUCAACAUGAAGUACAUGUGGCACGUACAUGCAAACUGUCUGAUUAUUUAGACAUCUACACUAGUUUUUAAAGGUAAAAAUAGAAGAAAAUUUUAAUAAACAAGACCAAUUAACUCUUUUAUCUAGCAUACAAGAAUUAUUCUAUACAUCUUUCAAUAAAUGGGGAAAAUUACAUCCACACAUUCUCCACAUUUCAGACCUGUAAUUCUAGCCAAUUGGUCACAAGCAUACAUGUCCCAUUUCAAUAUUCAAAGGUCUGCUUUGAUUAUUUUAUUUUGUGUUCUGUUGUCGCCCCAAAAUAGUUCCACUUGGCACAUCUCCAUACAUUUCAAACAUACCAAAAAUCUGCUGGCAAGCAAUACAAGACAAGUUCCAGCCACUUCAACAUUUGGCUCCUGUUCAUUGCCAAAAGAAAAAAAUAAACAUUUUUUAUAUUUAAUUGAAGGUCAAAAACACAUAAAAAGACAACCGGACAGCUAGUAUUUCAUCCAAUCUUCACAACAUGUCUGUGUGCGUGCAGAUCCUUCACUUCCCAGAAGCCUUUAGCGCGUAUUCUAUUAUAAAAUCACAGAUUACUAUUUAAAUGAUAAAUAAAUUAUUUAAAGUAUGAAAAUAUACAUGUUUUUUUUUAUUGGCUUAAGGGCGUAAAAAAUCCUUAAAUUUUUUUUUUAAAAAAGACAAUUAAAUUUCUCCUUUUUUUACACUCAAUUGAGCACUUAAAGUUUUAAAAUGCAUCAAAAAUACUCUCAAACUUCUUCCGAAAAAACAAUUAAAUCCUUAUUUUCUUUCCCACUCAAUUGGGUGCUUGAACUUUUUCAUAAUAUUUUUUUGGGCGAUUUAAUGAACCAUACAAGUUUCAAGGCUAAAAGAGGCAAAAGAAAAAGAAAAAGAAAAAGAAGCUAAAAUGACUUUUUGUUUGUAAAGUCAAAAAAUACCAAAUAAAUCAUUAUGUCUUUUUAGUUUUAAUUUUUUACUUGAUUAAAAGAGAAAUAAUUAACGAAUGAAAAAUAGCUAUUCCUAAAUAAAUUUAUCAGAAUUUAUAACAAAUGAGAUUUUAGAUUUGAAGUAUGAGGUUAUAUAUAUUAUAUAAGUAUACCUGUUUUUAUGGAAUCGGUGGAUUAUAUUUUCGACAGUCUUCUUCCCCAAGCGUAGUGAAUAGAGCACAAUUUUGUUCUUUUGGAUGGAAAAGAAUUUCUACAUUAAUUAGAUUUGGUUGACAGGCAAAUGAAUAGAUACACACAUUUUUUACGUGUUAUUAAGGAAGAAGACUAAGUCAAUCUACUUUGUAAUCUCAUCAAUCUUAAUUUUUUUAGUUGUUUAGGGAGUUCAAAUGAAAUACAAGAUUUUGCUAUAAAAAAAAAAAGCAUCCAAUUUUAAGAAUGAAAAAUAUACGGUAAAAAGAAGACUAAUGGUUGUUGAUGAUUGUGAAAAAUACAAAAAUUAUUUGUUGCCUAUAAAUACCAUUCCUAUCCUUCAUCUUCCUCUACAAACAUAACAUGGCCUCCUAUCUCUUUCUCUGCCUAUUCCUCUUCUUUCCCCAUCUUUAUGCUUCUUUUUCUUCUUCAGGAUCUCACUCCUGCUCUUCGCUAAUCCAGUUCAAGAAUUCUUUUUCCAUCACUCAGACAGAUGUUGCUUCUUCUUAUUGCGAUGAUCAAUCUUAUCCCAAGACAGAUUCAUGGAAGGAGGGUACAGAUUGCUGCUCAUGGGAUGGGGUCACUUGUGACCACCUAAAUGCUCGUGUUAUUGUCCUUGACUUGAGUUGCAGUUGGCUAUAUGGCAACUUCCCUUCCAAUACCACUCUCUUCCUUCUUCCUCACCUUCAAAAACUCAACCUUGCCUACAAUUAUUUUAAUCUUUCCAAAAUUCCAUCCGAGUUCGGUCGGUUUAUAAGCCUAUUCUACCUCAACCUUUCCAAUACAGGGUUUGCAGGAGAAGUCCCAUCCCAAGUCUCCCACCUGUCAAAAUUGGUUUCACUUGAUCUCUCCUGUCGGGCUGAUGCACAAACAAUUGACAAACAUGCUCUGGAGGGACUUGUUCACAACCUAACCGAGGUCAGACAUCUGUUUUUGGAUGGAAUCAACAUGUCUUCUGUUAAUGCUCAUGUCUUCAUGAAUCUAUCCUCUUCUCUAAGGUCUCUCAGUCUUGCUUUUUGUGAUUUGCAAGGAAAAUUCCCAAAAAACAUUUUUGAUUUGCCAAACCUCAAUCUCCUCAACUUGGGAGGCAACCAAAACCUCAAUCUUGAUCCUUUGAAGUUCAAUCGGAGCAGCAAUCUUGAACAUUUGGAUCUGUCGUGGAUGUCCUCCUCUACAGAAAUUGAUUCAGUUGAUAAUCUACAGGCCUUAAAGUACUUAGAUCUAUCAGGAAAUUCUUUCUUUCAAGGAUUGUCUGUCUCAAUCACAAAUUUAUCAUCUUUGGAGUACUUGAUUCUUAGAGGCGCAAAUGUUUUUGGAGGAUUGCCUGACUUGACGGGGAAUCUUGUGUCCUUGAAGUUUUUAGAUCUCUCCCAGUCCAACUUAUCAGGACCGGUUCCAAGAUCACUGGGAACCUCUUGCAACUCACUCAUUUAGACUUGUCGCAGAACCAAUUGAGUGGACAAAUUCCAAGAUUAUUGGGGAACCUCUUUCAACUCACUCAUUUAGACUUGUCGUGGAACCAAUUGAGUGGACAAAUUCCAAGAUCAUUGGGGAACCUCUUGCAACUCACUCAUUUAGAUUUGUCGAUGAACCAAUUGAGUGGACAAAUUCCAAGAUCAUUGGGGAUCAUUGGGGAACAUCUUGCAACUCACUCAUUUACUUGUCGGUGAACCAAUUGAGUGGACAAAUUCCAAGAUCAUUGGGGAACCUCUUGCAACUCACUCAUUUAGACUUGUCGGUGAACCAAUUGAGUGGACAAAUUCCAAGAUCAUUGGGGAACCUCUUGCAACUCACUCAUUUAGACUUAUUGGUGAACCAAUUGAGCGGACAAAUUCCAAGAUCAUUGGGGAACCUCUUGCAACUCACUCAUUUACAGUUGCCGGUGAACCAAUUGAGUGGAAAAAUUCCAAGAUCAUUGGGGAACCUCUUGCAUCUCACUCAUUUACACUUGCCGAUGAACCAAUUGAGUGGACAAAUUCCAUUGUCAAUUCUAAACCUAACGCAGCUGGAAUACUUUGUAAUAUCUAAAAAUUCUUUAGAAGGUUCCAUUCCAGAUGAGGUAACCGCUUUUCCUAAUCUAAUAUAUUUACACUUAAAUGACAAUUUACUCAAUGGAACAUUUCCGUCAUGGUUGUUUACUGCUCCCUCCUUAAAGGAAAUAUAUCUCUCUCAAAAUCAAUUCAGUGGGCAUAUCAAAGAAUUCCAAUCCAAAUCACUAGAAUUGAUAGCGUUACAGAAUAAUAAACUCCAUGGUUCUCUUCCAUCUUCAAUAUUCCAACUUCUCAAUCUUACCGACCUCGUUUUAUCCUCAAAUAAUCUUAGUGGUGUCAUAGAGUUUCGCAUGUUCUCAAACCUUCCAAAUCUAAAACAUCUCGACCUUUCAUAUAACAGCCUAUCCUUAACAUCUAAUACUACUUCUACUGUUAAUCAUAUAUUGCCUAAUCUUACAGGCUUACUUUUGUCAUCUUGCAAUCUUGGUGAAUUCCCCCAAUUUUUAAAAGGGCUUAAAAGUUUGGAAAGCUUAGACCUCUCUUGCAACAAAAUUGAAGGCAAGAUUCCACAGUGGAUGCAAGAGGUGGGGAAUGUCUCUUUGACUUACUUAAACGUAUCUCACAACUCUUUGACGAAGUUGAGCACUUUCCAUGGAAGAAUAUUGAAUUUCUUGACUUAAGCUCCAAUUUGAUCAGUGGAAAUCUUCCGAUUCCAGCUUCGACCAUCAAUGUCUUUUUGAUCUCAAAUAAUAGUUUCAAUGGAGAGGUCUCUUCUUUAAUAUGCAAUGCCAGUUCUCUUCGAAUUCUUGAUUUGUCCCACAAUAACUUGAGUGGAACAAUUCCGCAAUGUUUUGGAAAUUUGAGCAACAGCCUUGAAUUCUUGAAUCUGAAGAAGAACAUGUUUUAUGGGACGAUUCCUCCAACAUUUGCAAAGGGAUGCCAAUGGAGUAAUUUCAACUUAAAUGGAAAUUUGUUAGAAGGGCCUUUGACACCAUCCAUCCUUAAUUGUAAUGGUCUGGAAGUGCUAGAUCUUGGUAACAACAAGAUCAAUGAUACAUUUCCUCAUUGGUUGGGAAAUCUUCCAUAUUUGCAAGUUCUUGUAUUGAAGUUAAAUCAUAUGCAUGAUUCCUUGCGUGUCAAUAGCUCCAAGUCUAGCCCUUUUUUCUCUAAAAUCCAAAUUUUUGACCUCUCAAGUAAUUAUUUUACUGGACCCCUACCAGUGAGAUACAUCAACAGCUUCAAGGCUAUCAUAAAUCUAGAGAAGAUUGGGAGUACAUUGUUGUACAUGGGGGUGUAUGAUCGGAUUGCUAGUGGCUUCUAUACCUAUUCCAUUGGAAUUGUUAUGAAAGGACAAGAUAUGGAAUUGGUGAAAAUUUUCACCAUGUGGAUGAUCAUUGAUCUAUCAAACAAUCAGUUUGAAGGGGGUAUUCCAAAGGUUAUUGGGAAGCUUAACUUACUGAAAGGGCUCAACCUUUCUCAUAAUAACCUUAAUGGUGGUAUCCCCACCUCAACAGGGAAUUUGACAAGUCUUGAAUGGUUAUGUAGUUUUAGAUGUUAAGGAUAGGCUGUUAUAUGAAAGGUCGCGAUGUUUUAGAUUUGGAAGGUUUGAGAACAUGCGAAGCUCUAUGACACCACUAAGAUUAUUUGAGGAUAAGCUGAGGGAGGUAAGAUUGAGAAGUUGGAAUAUUGAAGAUGGAAGAGGACCUUCGAGUUUAUUAUUUUCUAGAUCUAAAUAUUCUAGUGAUUUGGUUUGGAAUUCUUUGAUAUGACGGAAGUGUUCCAUUGAGUAAAUUGUCAAAUAACACUAAAUAUAUUAGAUUCGGAACAGCGGUUACCUCAUCUGGAAUAGAACCUUCUAAAGAAUUUUCAGAUAUUUCCAAGUAUUCCAACUGCGUUAGGUUUAGAAUUGACAAUGGAAUUUGUCCACUCAAUUUGUUUGAUCCCAAGUCUAAAUGAGUGAGUUGCAAGAGGUUUCCAAGUGAUCUUGGACCGGUCCUGAUAAGUUGGAAUCGGAGAGAACUAAAAACUUCAAGGACACAAGAUUCCCCAUCGAGUCAGGCAAUCCUCCAAAAAAAUUUGCGCCUCUAAUAAUCAAGUACUCCAAAGAUGAUAAAUUUGUGAUUGAGGCAGACAAUCCUUGAAAGAAAGAAUUUCCUGAUAGGUCUAGGUACUUUAAGGCCUGUAGAUUAUCAACCGAAUCAAUGAAUUCUGUAGAGAAGGACAUCCACGACAGAUCCAAAUGUUCGAGAUUGCUGCUCCGAUUGAACUUCAAAGUAUCAAGGUUGAGGUUUUGGUUACGUCCCAAGUUGAGGAGAUUGAGGUUUGGCAAAUCAAAAAUGUUUUUUGGGAAUUUUCCUUGCAAAUCACAACCAGCAAGACUGAGAGACCUUAGAGAAGAGGAUAGAUUCAUGAACACAUGAGCAUUAACAGAAGACAUGUUGAUUCCAUCCAAAAACAGGUGUCUGACCUCGGUUAGGUUGUGAACAAGUCCCUCCAGAGCAUAUUUGUCAAUUGUUUGUUCACCAAACACAGAGGAGGAGAGAUCAAGUGAAACCAAUUUUGACAGGUGGGAGACUUGGGAUGGGACUUCUCCUGCAAACCAUGUAUAAGAAAGCUUGUAAACCGACCGAACUCGGACCUAUCUUCAAACAUAUUAAAUACCCAUUCACUUCAAUUCUACUAUUCUUAAAUCAUUAAAGUUUUGUGGAAAAUAUGCUUCUUGGAUAAAAAUUAUUCAACACACAUGCCUUGAAUUUUAUGCAAUAAAAUAAAUCAAUAUAGGCCACACAUGCUUUGAAUUUUUAAGUAGUCCACAAUUUUGUUCGUUUGUGUGCAAGAUUCUACAUUGCUUGACAGCCAUACAUACUAAGUAAAUAGACACCCACAUUGUUUACGUAUUAUGAGGAAGAAGAUUAAGUCAAUCUACUUUGUAAUCUCAUCAAUCUUAAUUUUCUCAGUUGUUUAGGGAGUUCAAAUGAAAUACAAAAUUUUGGAAAAAAAAUGUAUCCAAUUUUGUGAAUGAAAAAUAUAUGGUAAAAAGGAUUUGGUAUGGAUACUUCGGCCCGGGUAUCAAUACUCAGAGUAAGUUAAAGCAUCAGUGGAUGAAGAAGGAUCUGGUUGGUGCAAAUGAAGUUAAAGCAUUUGUGCUGUGUCUUCAUAAUUUCUUGUUUAGUAGUCUGUCAGAAAGUUUUUCCUAUGGUGAAAAGUUGCAUUGGUAUGUGUCUGUUUUUAUGAUUGUACCAAUUCCUCUGUAUUUCAUUGCAUUUCGUACUAUUUGUAAGGGUUUAGUUCGAGUGUAACAUCUUGUAUGGUGCAACUAUGUGUGUCUUCUUUCUUGAAUUUCAAUUUUUAGUAAACAUUGUACUGCUCACCAUAAAAAAGGAUACAUGUAGAAUUACAAAAGAUUCAAUUAUUCAAGUUUGAGUUGCAUUUAUAAAGACGUGGCGAUGAGAAUUCAUGAACGUAAGGUAUGGUUUGAGCCCUUUUGCCAUAUGCAUUUAUGUUGCAGAUGUUCAAAUAUUAAUUUAAGAGUAAUAUUUACAAUAGCAUUGCAGAGUAACAUAUUUAAGAUUGGAUUACACAGUCAAAAGAUUGCAGCAACGAUGAGAUUAAUACAAUUACAGGAAUUGGUAUCCUACAUGGCUUUUAGGCACGUAGCUUCAUUGACGAUGAGAUAAUUUUAGGAGGAAGCAACAGCAAGUGUGAAGUCAAUAGACAAUUGAUAGUCUUUAUUCUUUUGUGUGGAAAAUUAUUUGGGACCAAACUUAACGUGUUAUAAGGAAGAAGACUUUGUAAUCUCAUGAAUGUUAAUUAUUUUACUUCUUUGGUAAAAAAAAAGGAAUUAAUUUUAUGAAUGAAAAAUAUAUGGUAAAAAGGAAAUAGUUGUUGAUCACUAACAACAUGAUGAUUGUGGAAAUACAAAAAUUCCCAUAUAUGUGUUGAAUUCUGCAUAAUGUAAAUGUCCCGCAUUGCAUGUGAAUUCUGCAAUAGACCAAAUUUUACGUGUUAUAGUCCUUUAAACUGAGUUAAUGAAAAGUAAUCAUUCUUAUCAAAAUUAGUUAUACUCUUAAUUUAUAAUAAAAGAAAGAGUAAUUUGAGUUUAACUCAAAGGUUAAUAUGUCAUCAAUGGGCGAUGGCAUGGCGCUACCAUGUCAGCGAUUAUUUUCUUCUUUGAGUUAAGGUGAUUUCACCAAUUUUAGUUUACUUUUUAACUUCAAUUUAGGUUUAUGCUUAUUAGCUUCGAAGAUUCUAUGUGGGUGCCACAAUCAAAGGGUGAGUAAAAAGGGUUAAAAAUAAUUUUUUUUAAAAUAUUUUUAUUUUUAUUAAAAAUUUAGAAUUAGAAUUAGACAAAUUUUGUAAAUGUUAAGGGCUAACUUUAUUGAAUUUUUUUUUUCAGAAUUCGAACUAAAAUGACAAAUUUUGUAAAAAGCGCUAAAUUUGUUGAAUUUUUUAUAUUUAAGAUCAAAUUGAUAGAAUGUGUAAAUAUUAGAGGUUAAAUUCGUUAUUAGAUAAAAAAAAUCCACAUCAGCUUUCCGUCACUCAUCUAACGACAACUAAAGGGAGAGUGAUUAAAAUAUUUAAUUUCAAAAAGUUUAGCAACUAAUUGGAAAAUUUAAUAGUUGGGUGACUAUUUUUAUAGUUUACAACUUUUUUGGUCACAUGACUAUUAAGUGACACUUUUUAGUUGGUAUAAUAAUAAUUUUUAUCCUCAAUUUUUAUACUUUCUGUCAAUUUAACUCUAAUUAUAUAAAAUGAUUACAAAAGUGAAAUUCUUUUUAAAUUUUACAAAAUUCUAAAAAUUAAAAAUUAAAUGAAAGUAGAUAAAAAUUUCAAAUAUAAAUAAAGUGAGAGAAAAUGAGGGAAAUAUUAUUUUUAAACCCUCCAAAUUUUCUUUGUAUUAUUUGUAAAGAAAUAUCUAAUAUCCAUUCUUUUAGAAAACAUAGAAAAAAGUAAAAAAAAAAAAGAUUAAGUAAAAUUAUCUGUAUAUAAUCUGCUUUUAUAAUUUGGGUUUUUAAAAAUAAAUUUAAAUGAAUUGAAAAUUCGAAUUGAGUUUGAAAAAGAAAAUUUUGUGGUAUAUUUUAUAUUUUUGCUAGAAAAAUGGCAUCAAAGUUGAUUUUGUAAGCUUUUGUAAUAUAGUUACGGAUGUUCUUCAAGGGCAUGAAACUCAACUUGAAAAUUUUACUAAUUUGGUUGCAAAAAACAUUGAGGAAGCGUAUAAUGAUCUAACCUUUUUUUUGUUUUGUUCUGUUUUUAAUUUGUUAUGGGAUUCUAUUGAAUGAUAAUUUUUUUUAUUUCCCAUACAUAUUAGUUCUUCAACAACAACAUAUUCGAGAUUUUAUUUUUCUAGAAUUUUUAUAUAGAAGUUUAUAUUUUUUAAAAAUAAUUUUGAGUUUUUUUUAUAAUUUUUAUACAGAAGUUUAUAUUUUUUAAAUUGGCAAAAAAAAUUAUAAAAACAAAAUACUAGAAUUGUUAUUAUAGCAACUACAAAGUGUCAUUUAACAAUAGGGUGACCAAAUUGUAACUUUUUUCGUUAAGUGACCAAAACGAAGAUUUACCCAUAGUUCAGUGGCUAAUUAUGUAGUUUACCUUUUCAUAAUUAAAAAAUAGUUGUUAAGUUUUUCUUGUAUUAGAUAACAUUUUAGAUGGUAAAAACCCUCUUUAGUCCCUCUCAAUUUUGAUAUUAAGUAAAUUGGUCCAUUUUAAAAAAAAUUAAAGCAAUUUAAUCUUUGUUAAUUUCGAAAGUGAGCAACUAAGAACAAUUAAUCACAAUGUCAAUAUUUUCCAUCAAUUGUACAUAUUUUUAUUGGUAUAAUAACAAGUUUAUAAACUUGUUUACAUAUUCUGUCAAUUUGAUCUUGAUUUAACAAAUUUAUCCCGCAACAAUUACAUAUUCUAUUAACAUUUACAUAUAAUAUAUAAACAUCGAGAGCUUAUUUUGUUAUUAUAUCAAUAAAAAAUAUAUACAAUUUACAGAAAGUAUUAACACAAUGAUUAAUUGUUCUUAGUUGCUCCCAUUCAAAAUUGAUAAUGAUUAAAUUGCUCUAAUUUUCUGAGAGGAAUCAAUUUGUUCAAUAUAGAAAUUGAGAGGGACGAGAAAUGUGUUUUUAUCCAUUUUAGAUACCAACAAGUGUUUGGCGUAGUGGCAAAUCAUAUUACAUUCUCAAGGAGAUAAUGCGUAUUCAGACGUUGGAGAUAAUAAUGUUGUGUGCGGUAUCCACCGAUCUUGAACACGAAUUGUAAAACAUAUAUAAAGAAUAAAAAAAUAACAUCUUAAUUUAAAUAAUUAAUAAAUUUUAAUUUGAAAAAAUUAUUUUGAGAAACAUAAGUUUUAGUAAGUAGUAAAACUGAAUUAAUUUGAAUUUAAACUUAACGCAACUCGAUUUGAUUAUAAAGAAGUGAUAAUUUGAAUCCAAAAUGACAUGAUCUUAAAAUGAUUUGAAUUAAUUGUCAAACCCGAACGACAAAACUCGAAAUGAUGCAAUCCAAAAACGCUGGUUAAAAUGAUGCAAUCCAAUCGUAGUAAGUUUAACCUGCUGCUUUAGAUUUUGCAUUUUGGUUAAUUGGCUUGUGUUAUGUGUUUCUCUGGCAUCAGCCGAUAUGUGGAUUUGCCUCUCGUGAUGCACUACCAUUCAAGAAGCAUAAUGAUUUGUUCUACAUUGAUGACAAAGAUGUGGAGUUUAAAGAAGUAAGAACUGAUCAACAAUAUUCGAGGUUCUGUUGUAUGUUGCCUUAUUAAAUAAGUCUUCACUUAAAUUCCUAUGUUGCCUUAUGUAUGUAGGUUCUUGAGUCACCUUUACCAAAAGCACCACUUGAUACAUCUGUUACAUCCCACUGGCUUGCGAUUGAAGGCAUUCAACCAGCAAUUCCCGAAAAUGCUUCAAUUGAAGGUACCGUCUUAGCUAACCUAAAUAUUUUCUCGAAGCUAUUUGUGUUGAAUACUCUCAUGGUUCAUGUUCUUUUCUGGUUUUAUCACUUUAAUCUAAUACGACUUAUCUUCAUUUCUACAUGGAAUUGGUAGUUUGCUUUCCAUGCAGCACCUUCUGAUGGUAAAAAGGCUGAAUACAAAGAAGAUGGGCUUUCCGUUGAUGUCAAAUUACCUGUUAAGCAUGUAUUAUCUAGAGAGCUUCAAGUAUGUUGUACAUCUUCAGCAACAUUUUUAUGUUAAAAUACAUUUUGCACAGAAUGUUAUUAAAAGACUAAUUUGGUUGUCAUGCAGCUUUACUUUGACAAGAUCGUGGACAUUACCAUGAAUAAAUCAGUCUCAGUUCUCUUUAAACAAGCAUUACUGAGUUUGGCAACAGACUCGGGAUUACAUCCUUUAGUUCCUUAUUUUACAUAUUUCAUUGCGGAUGAGGUUGUCUUAAAGAUCUUUGAUACCUCAUUAUAUAUGUGUGUUGCAAAGAACUUUUGGUUGGUUAUCUCAAGCUUACAUUUUUGCCACAUUUAUCUCAGGUUGCACGGAAUUUGAAUAAUUUCCCUCUCAUGUUUGCUUUGAAGCGUAUUUGCAGCUUCUUGAACCUGAAAUAAAAAGACACGAGGCCUGGUGUGUUUAUGGGGCCCUGCUGGUAAGUUUAACAUCAAAUUUGGUACCAGUUUAUGAGCAUCGUUUCAUUUAUUUGCUGUAGAACUAACAACACUGCAUAAAAUUUCCACUAACAGCGUGCAGCUGGACUGUGCAUGUAUGAUCGGCUUAAAAUGUUCCCCAGUUUGCUAGCACCCCCAACUCGUCCCAUCUGGAAAAGCAACAACAAAGUUGCGACAAGUAUGAUUUCUUCGAACCAUCAUAUUUACACUUAAUCCACAAGUCUCUUCUCCCCCUUUACGAUAUUCCUUUUUCUGAUCAAUCAAGAUAAACGAAAAGCAAGCACGGACACCUUGAUGCAGCAGCAACCACCUGCCAAGAAAAUAGCAACUGAGAGUGCAAUAGGUAUGAUGCCGAUAAAUUCCACGCAAACUGAUUUACAAGGGGCAGUUAGCGGCUUUUCUACCACCGUAGGAGGUUCCAAUAUCGGUGUAUCAUCAAUGUCACGGCCGUUAUCAAACGAAAACAUGCUAGGAAGGGAGGUUGGGGGUCGAGUUUCAAAGACAUCAACCGUUCUAGCUCAGGCUUGGAAGGAAGACACAGACCCGGGGAACUUGUUAGCAUCAUUAUUUGAACUUUUUGGUGAAAGUAUGUUAUCAUUUACUCCCAAACCUGAGCUUUCAUUCUUCCUUUGAUUAAAUUUCACCUCCAAAAGCUAUGGUUUUUGAAGGAAUUUGUGUAAAUUAUCCCCAUAUUCUUUUCAUUCUUACUGUGUUUAUCUUUGUAAGUCUUCCUUUUUUCCUUGCUCAUAAAUGUAUUGUAGUUAUCAAAAAAUAUAUUCUACUUUGGAUUUUAUUUAUAUUAAAAUUUAGGUUAAAUUCUGCUAUUAGUCUCUGUACUUUACGAAAAUGAUGGAUUUAGUCCUUAUACCUUAAUUUGAUCAAUUUUAGUCAUUGUAUUUUUUGAAUUGGUCAAUUUUAAACCAUUUACUUUUUGAAUUUUGAAAUUUUAGUCUUGAUUCAAAUAAUAUUAAUAAUAAUUAAUACCUAAACAAUGCUCCUUUUCCCAAGGUACCUAAUUUUUAUUUUGGCCAUAAGUAUUACUAAAACUAUUCUUCCAUUACUCAUUUUACACCAAAAUGUUAUAUCGGCUAAAAAGAUUCCAACAAAUAAUAGAUUGUAUGUCAUAUAAGCUUUUAAAAAUAAUUAUUAAUUAAUUAAUUUUUUUAUAUUUUUCUUUCUUAUUCCUUUAUAAUGUUUGACAAUGCCGAUAAUGUUUGAAAUUGGCCCACUUGAGGUCGAAACGUUGGUGAUUAAUUUUGGUUUUGAAUUUCACCACCUACUUCUCUGACCUGAGGGAAACUAGUGUUUUCAAAAACAGAUUGAUUCAACUAGUUGGAUAGGAAAUCGGUCCGGAAAUAGGGGUUGAAUCGAUUGACUUGCGAACAAAAACAAAUCGGUUGAACUAGUUCUCUCCAUUUAUAUUUAUAUAAAUAAUAAUAGUUUUUUUUUACUACAUGUCAAUUUUUAAUUGGUUAAUUUUUUUUUUCAUAUAAACUGAACGGUUUGACUAAUGACGGAGGUACCAAAUUUUAGUCUAGGUACCAAUUUAUGGGUUAAGCCUAUUUCUAAAAUAGACUUUUGACUAAUGGCAGUAGUAACUUGGGAAAAAAAAGUAGUUUAUGUACCACUUGUGACAAAAAAUAAGUUUAGGUACCAACAUGGGAAAAUGAGUAUAAUUUAGAUACCGAUUUAUGAGUUAAGCCUAAUAUAUUUGUCGCAUCAUUUUUUGAAAAUAACAAAACUUAAUAAAUUUAACGGUUAUUGUUUGGUGAUGACUAAAAUUUUAAAAUUUGAAAAGUAGAUGAACUAAAAAUGACCAAAUUAAAGUAUAAAGAUUAAGUCCACAACUUUUGCAAAGUAUAAGGACUAAUAGCAGAAAUUAACCUAAAUUUCAUAUGGGUCAAUUACAAAAAUAAUCACUAAACUAUUCCUUUAGUUCUAUUCUAGUCACUCAACUAUAGAGGUGCUCAUGAGCCUGGCCAGGUCAGGCCUAAGCAUGAUAUUAAAGUACUUUAUGCUUGCUCAAGCUCGGCUCGGCCCAAAAUAUGAGCUUAAAAUUUUGCCUAAACUCAUCCAUAUUUGCAAAAGACUAACCCAAGCUCAUUUUAGGCAUGCCCAUAUAAUUUUUAGUUUUUUUUUUAAAUAUUUAUAUUAUAUUAUUUUAAUAUUUAAUAAUUUAAAUAUUUUUUAUUUAUUGAAAAUUUUUAUAUAGUCAUCUUAACAUUAUUUUAAUGUUUACAUUAUAGUAUUAUUAUAUAUUUAAUAUAAGUUUAUUUUUUUAAUCUGUUCUAAAUUAUAAAAUAUAAAGUAUUAUACACUUAAAAAUGGGCCGGGCUGGGCUCGAGCUUUGAAUGUUCAAGCCUAAACCCAGCUCAUAUUUUAAACGGGCCUAAUUUAUCACCCUUUGAUUUAUCAAAAUUUAUAACAAAUGAGAUUUUAGAUUUGAAUUAUGAGGCUAUAUAUAUAUAUAAGUAUACACAUUUUUAUGAAAUACAAAAUUUUGCUAAAACAAAAAGCAUAUAAAAGUAUACACGUUUUUAUGAAAUAAAAGAAAAAGCAUCCAAUUUUGAGAAUGAAAAAUAUAUGGUAAAAGCAUCCAUAACUUUUCAAUGUUAAAGAAAAAAAAGACUUAACACCAAUGUUGUGGUAUUAUUUGUUGCCUAUAAAUACCAUUCCUAUCCUUCAUCUUCCUCUACCAACAUAACAUGGCCCCCUGUCUCUUUCUCUGCCUAUUCCUCUUCUUUCCCCAUCUUUAUGCUUCUUUUUCUUCUUCAGGAUCUCACUCCUGCUCUUUACUAAUCCAGUUCAAGAACUCUUUUUCCAUAACAGAGGCUGCUUAUUCGUCUUGCGGCCCUAAAUCUUAUCCCAAGACAAAUUCAUGGAAGGAGGGUACAGAUUGCUGCUCAUGGGAUGGGGUCACUUGUGACCACCUAAAUGCUCAUGUUAUUGCCCUUGACUUGAGCUGCAGUUGCCUAUAUGGCACCUUCCCUUCCAAUACCACUCUCUUCCUUCUUCCUCACCUUCAAAAACUCAACCUUGCCGGCAAUGAUUUUAAUCUUUCCAAAAUUCCAUCCGAUUUCGGUCAGUUUACAAGCCUAUUCUACCUCAACCUUUCUUAUACAGGGUUUGUAGGAGAAGUCCCAUCCCAAGUCUCCCACCUGUCAAAAUUGGUUUUACUCGAUUUCUCCUCUUGGCCUGCUUUCUCUAUGCAAUAUAGAAUGGACAAACAUGCUCUGGAGGGACUUGUUCACAACCUAACCGAGGUCAGACAUCUGUUUUUGGAUGGAAUGGACAUGUCUUCUGUUAAUGCUCAUGUCUUCAUGAAUCUAUCCUCUUCUCUAAGGUCUCUCAGUCUUGCUGGUUGUGGUUUGCAAGGAAAAUUCCCAAAAAACAUUUUUGAUUUGCCAAACCUCAAUCUCCUCUACAUGGGAGGCAACCAAUUGAGUGGACAAAUUCCAAGAUCAUUGGGGAACCUCUUGCAGCUCACUCAAUUAGACUUAUCGGGGAUCCAAUUGAGUGGACAAAUUCCAUUAUCAAUUCUAAACCUAACGCAGCUUGAAUACUUAGGCUUAUCUGACAAUUUACUAACCUAAUAUAUUUAGGCUUAUCUGACAAUUUACUCAACGGAACACUUCCGUCAUGGUUGUAUACUGCUCCCUCCUUAAAGACAAUAUAUCUCUCUCAAAAUCAAUUCAGUGGGCAUAUCAAAGAAUUCCAAUCCAAAUCACUAGAACGGAUAUGGUUAGAGAAUAAUAAACUCCAAGGUCCUCUUCCAUCUUCAAUAUUCCAACUUCUCAAUCUUACAUCGCUUGCUUUAUCCUCAAAUAAUCUUAGUGGUGUCAUAGAGUUUAGCAUGUUCUCAAACCUUCCAAAUCUCAAAUAUCUCCACCUUUCAUGUAACAGCCUAUCCUUAACAUUUAAUACUACUUCUACUGUUAAUCUUACAGACUUAUUUUUGUCAUCUUGCAAUCUUAGUGAAUUCCCCAGUUUUUAAAAGGGCUGAAAAGUUUGGAAAGCUUAGACCUCUCUUGCAACAAUAUUGAAGGCAAGAUUCCACAGUGGAUGCAAGAGAUGGGGAAUGACUCUUUGACUUUCUUAAACGUAUCUCACAACUCUUUGACAGAAGUUGAGCACUUUCCAUGGAAGAAUAUUGAAUUUCUUGACUUAAGCUCCAAUUUGAUCCGUGGAAAUCUUCCGAUUCCAGCUUCGACAAUCAAUGUCUUUCUGAUCUCAAAUAAUAGAUUCAAUGGAGAGGUCUCUUCUUUAAUAUGCAAUGCCAGUUCUCUUCAAAUUCUUGAUUUGUCCCACAAUAACUUGAGUGGAACAAUUCCACAAUGUUUUGGAAAUUUGAGCAACAGCCUUGAAUUCUUGAAUCUGAAGAAGAACAAGUUUUAUGGGACGAUUCCUCCAACAUUUGCAGAGGGAUGCCAAUUGACUAAUUUCAACUUAAAUGGAAAUCUGUUAGAAGGGCCCUUGACACCAUCCAUCCUUAAUUGUAAGGGUCUGGAAGUGCUAGAUCUUGGUAACAACAAGAUCAAUGAUACAUUUCCUCAUUGGUUGGGAAGUCUUCCACAGCUACAAGUUCUUGUAUUGAAGUCAAAUCAUAUGCAUGGUCCCUUAUGUGUCAAUAGCUCCAAGUCUAGCCCUUUUUUCUCUAAAAUCCAAAUUUUUGACCUCUCAAAUAAUUAUUUUUCUGGACCCCUACCAGUGAGAUACAUCAACAGCUUCAAGGCUAUCAUAAAUCUAGAGAAGAUUGGGAGUACAAUGUCGUACAUGGGGAUGAAUGAUCCUCAAGGUGGCUUCUAUACCUCCAAAUGUGCUUGAAAAAGAUGGCCCAAAAUCAAACAUUACUUUUGGUUGGAAAGUGGUGUUGAUAGGUUAUGGAUGCGGAGUGGUGUUCGGAAUGUCCGUGGGAUAUGUUGUUUUCCAAACUGGUAAGCCGAAAUGGUUGGUGAAUUUGGUUGAAAUCCAACAUGAGAAGAAGUGAAGACGAAAGUCAAAGGAUGGCAGCCGCAGCAAUGGACGAAGAAGGAUCUAGUUAGUGGAAAUGGUG